GUGCCAGCCGCCGCGGUAAUACGAAGGGGGCUAGCGUUGCUCGGAUUUACUGGGCGUAAAGCGCACGUAGGCGGACAUUUAAGUCAGGGGUGAAAUCCCAGAGCUCAACUCUGGAACUGCCUUUGAUACUGGGUGUCUGGAGUAUGGAAGAGGUAAGUGGAAUUCCGAGUGUAGAGGUGAAAUUCGUAGAUAUUCGGAGGAACACCAGUGGCGAAGGCGGCUUACUGGUCCAUAACUGACGCUGAGGUGCGAAAGCGUGGGGAGCAAACAGGAUUAGAUACCCCCGUAGUCC
rnacentral:rRNA from 1 species